CCCUUAGACGUUCAGGGCCGCACGCGCGCUACACUGACGAAGGCAACGAGCUUUCCUUUACCGAAAGGUACGGGUAAUCUUUUGAAACUUCGUCGUGCUGGGGAUAGAUCCUUGCAAUUUUUGAUCUUAAACGAGGAAUUCCUAGUAAGCGCAAGUCAUCAACUUGCGUUGAUUACGUCCCUGCCCUUUGUACACACCGCCCGUCGCUACUACCGAUUGAAUGGUUUAGUGAGGCCUUCGGAUCCGCGACUCGUUUUGUGGAGAAGUUGGACAAACUCAGUCAUUUAGAGGAAGUAAAAGUCGUAACA
rnacentral:rRNA from 1 species